UCGAAAGGUGAGUGCAGUGACCUGAAGAAAAUCGAUCGUUCAGCUACACAAAAGCAGGGCAUGCAAGAAUUUGCUUUUAGGAGGACACGACGAGAGGGAAAGUUCCAUUAACAAGGACAACUACAAGGAGCUUGCAGAGCUCUGCUGUUGCUGGUUCCUGGGAUCCUGACUGAAACGGAACAUGGAUCAAACCCCAUCAAUUUGACGAUAGUCAACAGCAUCUCCAAUGCACCCAAUGAGACCUACAGUGCUGACGUUGUGUUCAGAGGGAUCCUACUCGGUGCCAUGAGGAGACUGCAGCAGACCAAUUCAGACUUCAAGUUUACCUACACAGAGGACCCCAACUAUGGUCCUUUCCUGGAGAGUGUGAAUGGUGUAGCCGGGGACAAUGCUGAGCACACUUAUUGGGAGCUCCUUGUUCAGACUGGGAAGAGCGGAUCCGUGAUCAGACCUGACGUGGGUAUUGGCUGUUACAUCCCAGGACCAAAUGACCGCAUCAUCCUGAAUUUUACAAAAUGGUGAACAUUCAGAAGCGCCUGACUGAUACUGUUUUAUUUAAAAAAAGUGCUGUUGUGCAUUUUAUUACAUGUACCAUAACAGGAAAUAAGUAUGGUAGUAAUGGUCAAUCUUAAGACUGUUUAGAAUGAAAAAUAGAGUUUCACCAUGAUAUUGUUAUAUACCCAAACUACUGUAAAAUAACAUUCCAUUUGUAAUUACUGUGUAAAAGGUUAAUAAAGUACAAGUAGCUAUGGAGCACCACUUG